UGUUUCUUUUUCGGCUCUUUUUUUCCUUUUUUUCCUUUUUUCCUUUUUCUGUCCUUUUCUCAGGCUAUA
rnacentral:ribozyme from 19 species